rnacentral:rRNA from 1 species
UACGGAGGGUGCAAGCGUUACUCGGAAUCACUGGGCGUAAAGAGCGCGUAGGCGGGAUAGCAAGUCAGAUGUGAAAUCCUAUGGCUUAACCAUAGAACUGCAUUUGAAACUGUUAUUCUAGAGUAUGGGAGAGGUAGGUGGAAUUCAUGGUGUAGCGGUGAAAUGCUUAGAUAUCAUGAAGAACUCCGAUCGCGAAGGCAAGUGUCCGGGGUGCAACUGACGCUGAGGCUCGAAAGUGCGGGUAUCAAACAGG